ACAGUUCACCAUCGUGUUGGUAGUUUUUGAGGAUCUCAAUCAGUCUGGCAGUGGCUAGACGGUCUGUUGUUUUGUCUGAAGAACGGUGUCCACUCCAAACAUCUGGAACAACACAAAAUGUUGACAUUUCACUAAUUACCUUCCCCAGAAUGCUUGUUUGAAUGGUGUCUUUUCCUGGAACGAACAGGCAUUCCCAGACGAUUGACUGUUUGAACAUCCAGCAUUAUCAUUUUCUGAUCUUAGAAUUUAGAAAAAGUCAAAUUAACUUGAGUUUAACUUGAUGCAAGUAAAGAAAUCAUAAUAUUAAAAGAAAUUCACAUACUAGGUGCCUUGUAGACUAGUUGAUCACCACGACGACCAACAAAUUCAAGUUUCUGGAAGCCUUCACGACUUAAAUUCGGUUGAUCCACCAUCCUGCAAAUUCUGAAAUCAAUUGUUCGUAAUUGUGAAGGUGACUUUACUUCUCAAUGACGUGUUAUCAACAAUGGACCAAAACCAGUUUAACGAGAAUUCAACCCCGGACCGGAGUCAGACUUUCGGUUCCUGACGUGUGGUGUGUGGUCAACUGCCAACCGUCUGCUAGACCAGACUAAACAGCAGCGUCGUGGCAUAACCUUUCGUCGAUCAAUAAACUACCAACGGACAACAAACUUUGAAGGUGAAGUACCGCCACGCAUUGCUGCUUUCUGCUGCUCCAACAAUCGUUCGAGAGGACUAGGACCGGGACCACUCCACAGAGAAGUCGUGCCUAAUGGCUGCUGCAUGGGGCGCUGCUCGUUGGGGUUUACCAAGUUAGUGACUGGGAAACUAGGCAGUUGACCAGGAUGCCACGGUGCGGUCGAAUUGAAUAGACUGUAGGGUGGCACAAUAGAGGACGGUGGCGGAGGUAGAUUGCCAGCCAUAGCCCAGGCUGCUGGAGGCGGAGGGAAACCCAAACCAGGGGGUGGAACUGUUGGCGGAGGAAUAGACAAAUCCGCUUUGAGUCGCUCCAAACGAGGAGGCAACGAUGGUCUGGGGUAAUUGAUGCUACUGCUGUUGCUGAUUGACUGUUUAACAGGAGGGAGAGGAGGAGCCAGCACGUGCUGGAAUGUCACUUGCUUGUUGUGAGACUCGUCUU